AACGAACGCUGGCGGCGCGCCUAAUACAUGCAAGUCGAGCGAGAAGACGUAGCAAUACGUUUGUAAAGCGGCGAACGGGUGAGGAAUACAUGGGUAACCUACCCUCGAGUGGGGAAUAACUAGCCGAAAGGUUAGCUAAUACCGCGUACGCUCCUUGGACUUCGGUUCAGGGAGGAAAGCGAUACCGUGGGUAUCGCGCUCUUGGAUGGGCUCAUGUCCUAUCAGCUUGUUGGNGAGGUAACGGCUCACCAAGGCUUCGACGGGUAGCUGGUCUGAGAGGACGGAUCAGCCACACUGGCACUGCGACACGGGCCAGACUCCUACGGGAGGCAGCAGGUAAGGAAUAUUGCGC
rnacentral:rRNA from 1 species